CCAAGCUGGAUGGCAUGGCGUGGCGCGGCGGAGGAACCGCGGCAACCACAGGCGCACGGCUGAGGACAGGUAGAUCCGCAGGCCGCAGGUCCCGCAGGUAGGAUCCUCAGCUUUGCACGCUCUCUCGCGGGGAGCCUAGUUUCUUGGCAUUCCAUUUCCUCGCCAGGUACCAGUCUUGAGUCACCAUCCGUGGAGUGCGUCGGCCCGCCGCGUCCUAACUCCUUCCCCCGCUCGCCGCGCCGGUCAUUCCCCCUGUGCGUUGUGUGUGUGCCCCGACAAGUGCUUCUAACCGGUCCCCUAUGCGUUACUGACUCCCGAAAUCAAGUGUGCUUUUGACAAUGUGUGUGUGUUUUCGUUUCUAAGGGAUUAAACUAACUCUCAUCACAGAAAUACAGCGCGCAUCCAAAGUGAUGGUGAUACGAAACUGGGCGACCAUAUCGGUCGUCAUAGCAACCUGCUUUUUAGCGCAGGCCUCGCCUCAGGGGUCGAAUAAUUUAUUCACAUGUCCUGCAGGUAAGAACCCCAGACAUUUUAUUUAUACCUGCACGUCAAUUUAGAGACUGCGGCUGUUGCACGAAAGAAUACCAAUGAAGUAACCACGAAACACCACGGGAAAUCAUCUGACAAAAAUCUAUCACCCUUGAAAUCCAUUUAAAUAUUCUUUGAUGUUGCAUUCUGACUUGUUUCUAAUUCUCCUCGAUUUUUUCCGUAAUAUAUCAAGUUUUACUUAAACACUCAAGGCUCCAUAGAGGUUUUUAAAAAAAGCUUUGUUUCACACCAUGCCAUAGGUAGAAAAUGCAUUUUAGAGUCUCUAAUCAAGCAAUUAGCCUAUACUUGCUCAAAUGAGUUUUAAAAAGCAGUGACAUUAUUUUGCCAUGCAUUAAAUAACUGAUGUAACACAAUCAAAGUAAAUAAACCUGUAAGUGGCAUUAGUGAUGUUGCAGAUUUCUAGGUAAAAAUGUAAAAAUUAUUAUUAUUUUUGUAAAGCCGCGAGGUUGAAUCGUGUG
rnacentral:lncRNA from 1 species